UACGGAGGGUGCAAGCGUUAUCCGGAUUCACUGGGUUUAAAGGGUGCGUAGGUGGGCAGGUAAGUCCGUGGUGAAAUCUCUGAGCUUAACUCAGAAACUGCCGUGGAUACUAUUUGUCUUGAAUGUUGUGGAGGUGAGCGGAAUAUGUCAUGUAGCGGUGAAAUGCUUAGAUAUGACAUAGAACACCAAUUGCGAAGGCAGCUCACUACACAAUUAUUGACGCUGAGGCACGAAAGCGUGGGGAUCAAACAGG
rnacentral:rRNA from 1 species